AGAGAAGAAGCGCUUCCGAUUUCGAUUAAUAACGUUGCCAAGAAAAAUCGACCGUUUCUAGAAUAAGUGGCAAAAAAUUUGGUGGUUGAUAUUCGAGAUCUAAGUUCGAAUUCUAGUUGAUUUAUAUUUUCAGCUAAAUUUAUUUUUAAAUAAAAUAAACGAAAUAUUUUUCAAAAAAAAAAAAAACAUCUUUGUGUAAAGGAACGGAAAGAGAGGAU
rnacentral:lncRNA from 1 species